rnacentral:rRNA from 1 species
AUUGAACGCUGGCGGCAGGCUUAACACAUGCAAGUCGAGCGAGCGGCGGACGGGUUAGUUAUGUCUGGGAAACUGACUGAGGGAUGGGGAUAACUAAUGGGAACGGUAGCUACUACCGCCUACCAUACGAUGGGCCCGGGUGGGGUUAGCUAGUAGGUGGGGUAAUGGCUCACCGAGGCGCCGAUCCCUAGCUGGUCUGAGAGGAUGCACAGCCACACUGGAACUGAGACACGGUCCAGACUCCUACGGGAGGCAGCAGUGGGGAAUAUUGCACAAUGGGCGCAAGCCUGAUCCAGCCAUGCCGCGUGAGUGAUGAAGGUCUUCGGAUCGUAAAACUCUGUUAGUAGGGAAGCGGUACCUAAUCAGAAAGCCACGGCUAACUUCGUGCCAGCCGCCGCGGUAAUAC